GCUUUCUUAGCCCAGUUGGUAGAGUAUUGGACUCAUAGUUCACUAUGGGUUGUGACAUCCAAAGGUCGUGAGUUCGAGCCUCACAGAGAGCA